CGUGUAGGUGGCUUGCUAUGUCAGGUGUGAAAGCCCUCGGCCUAACCGAGGAAGUGCGCCUGAAACUGGCUAGCUUGAGCACGAGAGAGGAGGACGGAAUUCCCAGUGUAGAGGUGAAAUUCGUAGAUAUUGGGAGGAACACCGGUGGCGAAAGCGGUUCUCUGGAUCGAUACUGACACUAAGACGCGAAAGCGUGGGAUCAAACA
rnacentral:rRNA from 1 species